UCCUUUAAGUCCGAGUUUCUCGUGUGACAUCCUUGUCUGACAUUUCCCACAGACUUUCAAGUUGGGAGUUUCUCUAGCAGAUAUAAUCAUCUUCAUCCCUUUCUUCUUGACUGAAGUACAUUUUAAGGAGUAACUAAUUUGAGAGUUCCAUAUGUAACAGUUGUCUUUGGUCCUUAUUCCUUUCAUAAUCACUUCACUGUCUUUGUUAGUAAUCAGACAUUCAGUUUUGGUGAAGUUAACAUUCCGACCUUGAUCACAUAGUUGACUGAUGCUU
rnacentral:lncRNA from 1 species